GUUAUUCUCGUCGACAUUGGAACAGGAUUCAAAACUAAAGGGAGUUCGUCCUCCAGGAUUGCCAUGGUAGAACUUGCCUCUGCAAAGAAGCUGAGAAAGGCCCUGAGUGAUGUCAGUAGUUUAUUGCCUAUGGCAGGGUUCUUUCUAAGUGUGGAGCAGCAUUUGAGAUUCGAAACAAUUUUAGAUGACUGCACUCGACAUACGCAGAGUCGAUUUUCAAUUGGAAGAAGAUACCGAACACAAUAAUAUAUUCAAAUUUGACAGUUCUUCUCAGAAAGUCAUGUCAUCCACGUCAGGAGACUAGUGUUACUAUUCCAGAAGGAAAACACGUUUUACUGUGUAUCUGUUUCUACAUAUGCCUAUUAUGACAGACAUCGUCGAAGAAAAUAGCAUAACAACUUAUCUAGUGCACUGGUCACUUACAGAGGCAAACAUACCUUCAUUAGUCCUAACCUUGAAUGACAGCCUAAGGGUAAGAUUAGCGCUGUUCACAACUGGGUGCUGCACUGCCACUUACAGAGGCAAACAUACCUUCAUUAGUCCUGACCUUGAAUGAUAGCCUAAGGGUCCCACUUCUCCAGCCUUAACGAGUUGACGACAUCGAUCAGAGAGGAUACUAUCAGGUCUUCAGAAUAUGGAAUGCUGUUUUCUUUCAUUUUUGAUAUACAAUCUUCAAGAGUUGCUGCAUAUUCGUUUCAAACCUCUUUUACAACAUUACUUUUCAAAUUUUUAGGACUUUUCGUUGGUAACCUCAUAACUUUAAUAUCGCCGGCUCUUUUCUUCCAAAUAAUGUUUAUUCAAAAUUAUAGUUACGUUUGAAUCAUUAUCCUGUUGAAACUGAAAAAUAAAUUAAAUUAAACGUCGUUCAUUAGGCUUUGUGUGACGAUUCAGAAUGUUGCUAUACUUCUCUUUGUCCUAAAAAAUAAAACUGUCCCACACAAUUAUAGACUCACUACCGUAUUUAACACUUUAUAUGAACUCCAUUUCUUGAUUUUUUAUCAUUUCAUAGUCACAUUUCCUCACAAAACUAUUUUUAGUCAGUCCAUGACAUAUCAUUCCAUUCGUUUUUCUAACUUUAAUGUACAAAGCUUAAAAACUUGACCAUAUUUACACGUGAAAUACCAUGUUUUUUUUGUCUGCAACUCUUCCAGGUAGACUACUUUCUUAAGUCUGUGACUUAUUCCAACGCCAUGAAUGUCCAGUAUGUCUGAGAAUGUAUUGAAAUAAGUUUGAUGUUAAAAUUACUAGAAUGAUACAAUUUCCCAUCUUGAUAUUCUUCCUGGACAUACAUUUGUAUUCGACUUUAAAUUUCCAGUUGCAGAAAAAAAGCUCAAAUCUUUGUGAAUCGUAUACCUUUACAAAGUUUGAGCAACAUACCAUUGAAUUGUCUUUUAAUUAUGGACAGCACUAUCUUUCUCCAUUUUUCACUGCUUAGUUAUAUAUAUAUUUCCUUAUGUAUCAAUUUUAGCAAUGUUGAAACUUGUAGUCUUUGGAGAGUUGA